rnacentral:lncRNA from 1 species
AAAAAAAAAAAAACAAAGUACCCACAUUUUCAAUCAGCCAACGAAAUCAAAUCAUAAUGAACUAAUGAAGGAAAUAACAUAAUAGAGCAAUAUAUUCUUACCAACGCGACCAUAUGUUCCUUCAGGGAUAGCAAUGCUUAGAUCAGUGGGAAUCAACGCUUUUCCUCUGGCUGGCACCUUUGUAUCCGUUGCACUGUGCCAUAAAUUUUUUUUUUUAAAAACUCAAUCAAAUUUGUUGUAUAUCGACUGCGAUUUCCAUUAUAGAGAAUGGCUUGAGGAGUUACCUUGACAGAUCGUAGCCAGCGGCGAGAGGAGAGCCUCUUGACGGCAACACGGCUUUUUCAGAAAGCUUUUUGACUUUCAAGAGGGAGGCUGGACCAUGGGUAACUUCAUGUACUCCAUUUUGACCGAGUUUUGGGACUUUCGGGGAUGGCUCUUUGAUUUCAGGGCUGUUGCUAAUCUGAUCUGCUUGGGCCAUCGUAAGAAGAGAUCUUGGAGAGGUAGAGAAAACAGAGGGACGAUUCCAACAGACUGGUUUGAAGACUAAGGAUCGUGAAGCACAGCGAUUAUUGUUAUAUAAGAAUAAAGCCGGGAUUUUGGGUACCCACGAACUGAUGGCGCCAAGUGUUCCCGCCAUUUCCAAGAGCGCCCACUCCUAUCUGCCGCCCUGCUUAAAUGCUCUCCGCUGGCAAUGGCCUGGGGACCAUUCACUAAGCCCAAAGCCAUGUGUGUGGGUAAAAUCUUGGAAACCCAGUGGCCCAACCCAUUAUUUAACGUUACCUUACUUUUUGAGGAUUAGCCAGUAGUGGGGCAUUGGAUUUGGAGGUAUAUUUGCAUUUCUAGGAAACGUGUGCCGCUCGGAUCUAAAGCUUCGAUUUUUGUGUGGUUAAC